GAGGAAUAUUGGUCAAUGGACGAGAGUCUGAACCAGCCAAGUAGCGUGAAGGAUGACUGCCCUAUGGGUUGUAAACUUCUUUUAUACGGGAAUAAAGUGAGGCACGCGUGCCUUUUUGUAUGUACCGUAUGAAUAAGGAUCGGCUAACUCCGUGCCAGCAGCCGCGGUAAUACGGAGGAUCCGAGCGUUAUCCGGAUUUAUUGGGUUUAAAGGGAGCGUAGGCGGACGCUUAAGUCAGUUGUGAAAGUUUGCGGCUCAACCGUAAAAUUGCAGUUGAUACUGGGUGUCUUGAGUGCAGUAGAGGCAGGCGGAAUUCGUGGUGUAGCGGUGAAAUGCUUAGAUAUCACGAAGAACUCCGAUUGCGAAGGCAGCUUGCUGGACUGUAACUGACGCUGAUGCUCGAAAGUGUGGGUAUCAAACAGGAUUAGAUACCCUGGUAGUCCACACAGUAAACGAUGAAUACUCGCUGUUUGCGAUA
rnacentral:rRNA from 1 species